rnacentral:tRNA from 1 species
GGGCCCUUAGCUCAGUUGGUUAGAGCAGGGGACUCAUAAUCCCUUGGUCCUAGGUUCGAGCCCUAGAGGGCCCACCA